rnacentral:lncRNA from 1 species
CUGGCUCUCAGUGCAGUGGAUGCACUCAGGAAAGACAGAUGAUGAACCAGAUAUAUUCAGAAUCACACUGGCCAGUUUGUCGCCUGCUCUCUAGCAAAGCUGAAGAACUGAAAUUCUCAGGGACAAAUCUAUCAACUGGAAAUUGCUUUGGUUCAAUUCAGUGCUCUGUUCCUGAAAUUUUUGAGAUGAAGAAUUUGGCAAGACUACCAUCCACUAAACAGUUGUCAGCAAAACCAGGGCUGUGAAAUGCUCCUUUUCAGGUUUUGAUGCUACGCCUGUUUAUUCGAAGAUUUGGUAGUUCUUGUGAUUUUAUCAGCAUCUCAUUAGGCUUUUCAGAAGACUCUCAUCAAUUUAUGCAAUGAAGAAUUUUAAAAAAGUAAAGCCUAGAAAACCCAAACCAAGUCUAAUUUAAAAACACAACAACAAAAACAUGCAAAGCAAUGUAUCAAGACUAAUGACUGACAAUUUAAGGGCCUUCUAUGCUGAGUGACAACAUCAAUGGACCAAGGAAGGACAGCUGAUGUUGUCUACUUGGACUUGUACAAGGCUUGUGACAUUCUAAACCAUUCUAUGAUUUUAUUAUAUAGAAUGAAGGUACUGCUUGUGUUUAAUUAUCUACAGCUACACAGUCAAAUAAUGAAUUCUACAGCUUCCUAGUCACAUAAUUACAUAGGAUUGAUCCAGAAGUUUCAUUAUGUGAAAAUUGUUACCCUUUUGUUGGAGUGAUAUCAUUAAAACAAAGUGGAAUCCCCUCCACAGAAUAACAUAAGAUAAUUUACCCCCAUUAUUUUCUUAAUAUCUUUAAGUAUAACCUUACUGUUCAGGAUGGGAACAACGAAUGUCUUUGUAUUGUACCUUUAAUUGUACUAUUUCUAUGACAGAAAUGUAGAGCUGUUCUGUUACUGGUUAAUUAAAAACUAAAUUUCUUUUCCUUACACUCUGAAUUUCCACUUAAAGUUAAUUAUGGAAAAUAACAAAUAGCAAAAUGUUCCUUUUCCAGAGUAAGUUCCCACUGGGACUGAGUAAAAAUGUUAAUAAUUAAUCAAAUAGUCUAACUUCAUAUUAUUUUUUGCUACCUCACACAUAUGAAAAACCCCACUGAUGUUGUUUUACUUUUUUUUUUUUUUUUGGUUUCAUAAAUAUUUAUGUAUAAUUGCAUUUUCCUACUAAAUGGCAUUUUUUUCUGCCCAAAGGGAGGAAAAACAAUUUGUGUGUUAAUUUUAUCUCACUGGUUUUGUUCAGCUCCAGUAGCUCUGUAUAUAAAAUAAGAGAUUAGAUAAAAAGAAAUGCACACAACCUGUGUUUGUUACUGUAGACGAUAAUAAUUAG